AGGGAAACCGAGUCUUAACUGGGCGUUAAGUUGCAGGGUAUAGACCCGAAACCCGGUGAUCUAGCCAUGGGCAGGUUGAAGGUUGGGUAACACUAACUGGAGGACCGAACCGACUAAUGUUGAAAAAUUAGCGGAUGACCUGUGGCUGGGGGUGAAAGGCCAAUCAAACCGGGAGAUAGCUGGUUCUCCCCGAAAGCUAUUUAGGUAGCGCCUCGUGAACUCAUCUCCGGGGGUAGAGCACUGUUUCGGCUAGGGGGCCAUCCCGGCUUACCAACCCGAUGCAAACUGCGAAUACCGGAGAAUGUUAUCACGGGAGACACACGGCGGGUGCUAACGUCCGUCGUGAAGAGGGAAACAACCCAGACCGCCAGCUAAGGUCCCAAAGUCAUGGUUAAGUGGGAAACGAUGUGGGAAGGCUCAGACAGCCAGGAUGUUGGCUUAGAAGCAGCCAUCAUUUAAAGAAAGCGUAAUAGCUCACUGGUCGAGUCGGCCUGCGCGGAAGAUGUAACGGGGCUAAACCAUGCACCGAAGCUGCGGCAGCGACACUAUGUGUUGUUGGGUAGGGGAGCGUUCUGUAAGCCGUUGAAGGUGUGUCGUGAGGCAUGCUGGAGGUAUCAGAAGUGCGAAUGCUGACAUAAGUAACGAUAAAGCGGGUGAAAAGCCCGCUCGCCGGAAGACCAAGGGUUCCUGUCCAACGUUAAUCGGGGCAGGGUGAGUCGACCCCUAAGGCGAGGCCGAAAGGCGUAGUCGAUGGGAAACAGGUUAAUAUUCCUGUACUUGGUGUUACUGCGAAGGGGGGACGGAGAAGGCUAUGUCGGCCGGGCGACGGUUGUCCCGGUUUAAGCGUGUAGG
rnacentral:rRNA from 1 species